GGAAGGGGCCACACAUCUUUCAGAGCCUUAAUUGGACGUGCUCAGGAGUCAGAUCCCUACUGGGUGUCAGAUCUGCACUCUGACGGGGUCAGAUCCGAGCUCAGGUCACAUCUAAGCUUGGGGUCAGGUCCGAGCUCGGGGGUCAGGUCUGUGCUGGGGGUCAGAUCCGCUUGGGGGUCAGGUCUGCGCCCGGGGGUGGGGCAGGUCUGUGACCUGGGGUCAGACUCUUGCUGGGGGGUCAGGUCUGCACCCUGGGGUCAGGUCCGUGCUGGGGGUCAGGUCCGUGCUGGGGGUCAGGUCUGUGCUGGGUGUCAGAUCCGUGCUGGGGGUCAGGUCCGCGCCCUGGGGUCAGGUCUGUGCUGGGGGUCAGGUCCGUGCUGGGGGUCAGGUCUGUGCUGGGGGUCAGAUCCGUGCUGGGGGUCAGGUCCGCGCCCUGGCGUCAGGUGCGUGCUGGGGGUUAGGUCCACACCUGGGGGUCAGGUCCGUGCUGGGGGUCAGGUCUGUCCUGGGGGUCAGGUCUGCGCCCUGGGGUCAGGUCCGUGCUGGGGGUCAGGUCCGUGCUGGGGGUCAGGUCCAAGCUCGGGGAUCAGGUCCGUGCUGGGGGUCAGGUCCGUGCUGGGGGUCAGGUCCGAGCUCGGGGAUCAGGUACGUGCUGGGGGUCAGGUCCGCGCCCUGGGGUCAGGUCCGUGCUGGGGGUCAGGUCCGUGCUGGGGGUCAGGUCCGCGCCCUGGGGUCAGGUCCAUGCUGGGGGUUAGGUCCACACCUGGGGGUCAGGUCCACACCUGGGGGUUAGGUCCACACCUGGGGGUCAGGUCCGUGCUGGGGGUCAGGUCCGUGCUGGGGGUCAGGUCUGCGCUGGGGGUCAGGUCCGCGCCCUGGGGUCAGGUCCGUGCUGGGGGUCAGGUCCGUGCUGGGGGUUAGGUCCACACCUGGGGGUCAGGUCCGUGCUGGGGGUCAGGUCCGUGUUGGGGGUCAGGUCCGUGUUGGGGAUCAGGUCCGUGUUGGGGGUCAGGUCCGUGCUGGGGGUCAGGUCCGUGUUGGGGGUCAGGUCCGUGUUGGGUAUCAGGUCCGUGUUGGGGGUCAGGUCCGUGCUGGGGGUCAGGUCCGUGCUAGGGGUCAGGUCCGUGCUGGGGGUCAGGUCCGUGUUGGGAUCAGAUCUGUGCUCUGGUCUGCGGUGGGAUCCAUGCUGGAGGGUCAGCUCCGCCUCAGGUGGUUGAGUGAAACGCAGGUGAGAUGGUGCCUGCCUGGAGCCCUCCCCUUAGGGGAGCAGAGCAACCUCCCUAGGGCGGCCGCCUGGCUUGGGGAAGCUGUCAGGGGCUCUGCGCGGGUGGUGGGCUCGCCCUAGCGGAAGGAGCCCUGAAUUGGGGUCAGGGGUCCGAGCUCAGCUGUGCCACUCACACCUUGGGUGGCCUGGGCCGGCCCCAGCCACCGGGAUCGGCCCUCAUUUUCUGCACACGGCCACUGAGGCCCAGGGCCCGAGCGCCCGCUCUCCAAAGCCCCUUCCUGGAAACUCUGGCGUUUCCCGUCUUUGCUGGCUGCUCAUUAACAGGGCAUUUUCAUUUUCCAGUCCGCAUUCCAGCUUCCUCCCGUGGGCCUCACCCCCUGGCAGGGAAGCGGGCGCUGCGCGGAUUCUCCGAAAGGCCCCAGGAAAGGACGAGGGGCCGGCAGGCGCCUUAAAUGCCAGCCCCUCAGUGGGCACCAGGGACACCGCGCCUGGGUUCCGGGACUCUCGGUCCCAGUCUGCUGGGAAACCGGGUGUUUUCUUACCCAAGCCUGAGUCACCGCCGGUGAAGUGGACGGGCGAAAAGUCUGGGGCUCAGGGCAGACCACACAGCGAGUGUGCGCAGCUCAGCCCCGGCCUGGACGGCCCCUCCCAAAGCCCCGCUGCGGGAGGGGCUGUGGGAGACCCACGUGUCUUUCUCCCGUUUCUGGGGCCCGUGUGAGCUCCCUGGGGGCUGACAGAUGCCGCGAGGCUCUGCUUCUCAGCCUGGCCUGGGGUCCCGUCGUCGAGCCCGAGAGAGUGAGAGAUCCGCCCGCCUG
rnacentral:lncRNA from 1 species